UACGUAGGGUGCAAGCGUUGUCCGGAAUUAUUGGGCGUAAAGAGCGUGUAGGCGGCCCGAUUAGUCCGCUGUGAAAGUCCAGGGCUCAACCCUGGAAUGCCGGUGGAUACUGUCGGGCUAGAGUCCGGAAGGGGCGAGUGGAAUUCCUGGUGUAGCGGUGAAAUGCGCAGAUAUCGGGAGGAACACCAGUGGCGAAGGCGACUACCUGGCCUGUUCUUGACGCUGAGGCGCGAAAGCUAGGGGAGCAAACGGG
rnacentral:rRNA from 1 species